rnacentral:rRNA from 1 species
AUUGAACGCUGGCGGCAUGCUUUACACAUGCAAGUCGGACGAGUGGCGAACGGGUGAGUAACAUAUCGGAACGUACCGAGUAAUGGGGGAUAACUAAUCGAAAGAGUAGCUAAUACCGCAUAUUAUCCGAGAGGCCGAUAUCUGAUUAGCUGGGUGGUGGGGUAAAGGCCUACCAAGGCGACGAUCCGUAGCGGGUCUGAGAGGAUUACCAGCCACACUGGAACUGAGACACGGCCCAGACUCCUACGGGAGGCAGCAGUGGGGAAUUGUGGACAAUGGGCGCAAGCCUGAUCCAGCCAUGCCGCGUGUCUGAAGAAGGCCUUCGGGUUGUAAAGUACUUUUGUCAGGGAGGCGGUACCCGCAGAAUAAGCACCGGCUAACUCCGUGCCAGCCGCCGCGGUAAUUC